GUCUUCUCAUAAGAGUUUUGAUGAGUACCCAUUAGUGUUCCUCUAUUAAAAAUCAGAUUUCGCCCAACAAUCUAAAAUUAGAAAACAAAAUCAAUACAAGCGAGUUUCAUAUAAACAAACUGAGUCAUAAAACGAAAACCUCAUCAACCUUGCAAGCACGCAAAAAAAAUUCUACAGAUCUACGAUAUCGAUCAGUUCUUAGUUCAAGAAAUCAUCAUGAAUUCACAAUGAAACAUUCACAAAUAUCAAAUCAAACAUGCAAAUGGAAAACACACGGGUCUAUAGUGCGCUAAGAAGCUUAAAACAGAAGGUAAAAAUCUCAUCGGAGCUUUCCAACUCCCGCGAGACUCUGACGACCAAAUUUACCUCAAGCAUCAAAUUAGAGAGAGAGAGAGAGUUUUGGACAUUUUCUUCUCAUAGGUGCGAAAAUCAAAUGAAAAUCCUAAUGAGUUGGGCAAAUUCAUGUGGGGGAGGAAUCAAGUUUGUUAGAGUGUGAGGAGCUUCCUGAUUUUGUAAGAUUUUGAGAAAGGAUAAAGAUGAUUUGCAUGAGAAAUGCAAAUCAAUUUUUUUUUUUACUUUUUGUCCUUUCUGAAUUGUAAUAUAAAAAAUUACUGGAUGCAAAUUACUAAUACAAUGAAUCCUUUUUUUU